rnacentral:rRNA from 1 species
GACGAACGCUGGCGGCGUGCCUAAUACAUGCAAGUCGAACGAGUGGCGGACGGGUGAGUAAUGUCUGGGAAACUGCCCGAUGGAGGGGGAUAACUACUGGAAACGGUAGCUAAUACCGCAUACCAUCGGAUGUGCCCAGAGUGUGUUAGCUUGUGGGUGGGGUAACGGCUCACCUAGGCGACGAUCCCUAGCUGGUCUGAGAGGAUGCCCAGCCAAACUGUAACUGAGACACGGUCCAGACUCCUACGGGAGGCAGCAGUGGGGAGUAUUGGACAAUGGGCGCAAGCCUGAUCCAGCCAUACCGCGUGGAUGAAGAAGGCCUUCGGGUUGUAAAGCCCGUUUAUUGGGAAGGCGGUACCCAAAGAAUAAGCACCGGCUAACUCCGUGCCAGCAGCCGCGGUAAUAC